rnacentral:rRNA from 1 species
AUUGAACGCUGGCGGCAGGCCUAACACAUGCAAGUCGAACGAGAGGCGGACGGGUGAGUAAUGUCUUGGAAACUGCCCGAUGGAGGGGUCUAAUUACUGGAAACGGUAGCUAAUAACGCAUACCAUCGGUUGUGCCCAGAUGGGAUUAGCUAGUCGGUGGGGUAACGGCUCACCUAGGCGACGCUCCGUAGCUGGUCGGAGAGGAUGAACGGCAACACUGGAACUGAGACAAGGUCCAGACUCCUACGGGAGGCAGCAGUAGGGAAUAUGAGACAAUGGGCGCAAGCCUGAUGCAGCCAGGCAGCGUGUGAGAAGAAGGCCUUCGGGUUGUAAAGUACUGUCGGCAAAGAGGCGUUACACGCAGAGGAAGCUCCGGCUAACUCCGUGCCAGCAGCCGCGGUAAUAC